UGGGGAAUAUUGCGCAAUGGGGGGAACCCUGACGCAGCCAUGCCGCGUGAAUGAAGAAGGCCUUAGGGUUGUAAAGUUCUUUCGGUAUUGAGGAAGGUUGAUGUGAUAAUAGCACAUCAAAUUGACGUUAAAUACAGAAGAAGCACCGGCUAACUCCGUGCCAGCAGCCGCGGUAAUACGGAGGGUGCGAGCGUUAAUCGGAAUAACUGGGCGUAAAGGGCACGCAGGCGGUUAUUUAAGUGAGGUGUGAAAGCCCUGGGCUCAACCUAGGAAUUGCAUUUCAGACUGGGUAACUAGAGUACUUUAGGGAGGGGUAGAAUUCCACGUGUAGCGGUGAAAUGCGUAGAGAUGUGGAGGAAUACCGAAGGCGAAGGCAGCCCCUUGGGAAUGUACUGACGCUCAUGUGCGAAAGCGUGGGGAGCAAACAGGAUUAGAUACCCUGGUAGUCCACGCUGUAAACGCUGUCGAUUUGGGGGUUGGGGUUUAACUUUGGCGCCCGUAGCUAACGUGAUAAAUCGACCGCCUGGGGAGUACGGCCGCAAGGUUA
rnacentral:rRNA from 1 species